AUGGAGGAGAGGCUGGGAGUGUCAGACCAUUUGAGGAGAUGGCUGGGAGUGUCAGACCGAUGGAGGAGAGGCGUGGGCGUUGGUGCCAGACACAAGGGAGGAGUGUCAGACCAAUGGAGGAGUGUCAGAACCAAUGGAGGAGAGGCUUGGGAGUGGUCAAGAGCGAUGAGGAGAGGCUGGGAGUGUCAGAGCAUGGAGGAGAGGCUGGAGUGUCAGGAGCGUGGAAGGAGAGGCCCCUGGGAGGGUCAGACCGAUGGAGGAGAGGCUGAGGCUGGGAGUGUCAGACCAAUGGAGGAGAGGCUGGGAGUGUCAGACCAAUGGAGGAGAGGCUGGGAGUGUCAGACCAAUGGAGGAGAGGCUGGGGUAGGACUGACAGGCUCAAAAUGAAGACGGUCCGAGGGCCCCAGGUUCCAUGCUAUUCUAAGACUUUAUGAGCGUUAACCCCGGGACUGACCCCGACCCAUCGUGUGUGUGUGUGUGUGUGCGACUUGUAUUACAGCUGCAUCUACAGAGUGUUUCAUGGUAAUACUCAGAUGAAGAAAGAGUAACAGCACAUAGUCCAUCACCGUCUGCAGCUAAACAAUCACUCAAUUUACAGCAUAAGACCAAAGACACACCAGAAUAGCUUUUCAAAAGGUGUUCAGUGUUCCUGAGUGGUCUAGUCUCAGUCCUCGACAGUGUUUCAUGGUUUGAAUAGCCAUGGGCAGAAGAGAGAAACCGCACACUGUCCAGUAGUCUUAUGGAUUCACCAAAUAAACAGGAAGUGGAGAGGUGAGUCGCCAUGCAUAAAGACUGUCGGAGGAUAUUCAAUAGAACGAUUCACAAUUUGAAGAAGAGGUGUUCAAAUGUUUUUCAUGUCAAAUGGUAGAAAGAGAAGUUCAGGUGCUGCCGUAGUUUUGAUUUCAACUUUCCCACAAAAGGCUCCGUCUGAACCUUGAAACAUUCAACUUUAAUAACGCUUUUAACAUUUUAACACUUUUCAACAGGAGAUGAAAAGUCCGCUUUUUUACAGACGUUUUCCUUCACAAAUGUUUUGGAACUUUUCUUAGCUUGUAAAGCACACUGUCACUGUCUGGCAAUAUCAACACAGAGGGAACAUUUUAGAAGUGUCUUUUUUUUUUAAGCCACUUGAGUGGUCAAAGGGAGAAUUUUAUAAUAAGAGACCUUGAAUAUGUUCUCCUGAUGUCAAUACAACAGCAUCACGUUGAUGUCUUUAUUGGCUGUCUGAAAAGUAAUGAUCUAUCGAGCAGGAGAUUAAAUAAAGUGCAGAAUAAUUCUGCCCACAACAUUUAUUGGGCUUUAAACUCAGCUGCAAAUGUACAAAGACUCUGAUGAAUAAUGGUUGCUAACGUUCAACCAAUAAUAAUAGGUCUCCAGACUGACUACACCAGGAUGCAGACUACACCAGGAGGGCAGACUACACCAGGAGGGCGACUACACCAGGAGGGCGACUACACCAGGAGGGCGACUACACCAGGAGGGCGACUACACCAGGAGGGCGACUACACCA
ensembl:lncRNA